rnacentral:misc_RNA from 1 species
GUUAAACGCAAAGAUGUUUCACCGCGAGAUUUACGGUACACUUGUCACGAAGUUGCAACACGCGCGUGUCAAAUGAUAAAACUAGAGAAAAGUAUCGCGGAGACAAACGGUGACAAGUGUCCGCUUCGAUUAAUAUAAUAGAACAGAGUGGACGAACGGUGGGAAGAAUAAGCCGGACCGCAAACGGUUAAAUGCUCAGCGAAAACCACGACAUUGCGACUUGUUUGACAUGCUGCAUAAUUUGUGCAAUCCGACGCGAGACGUGGAUAUUUGAAGUGACUUGCGCGGUGUGGCUAAUAGAAUGCUUCGCUGUUUCAAGGAACAUCGUGAGACGUUCGAGUAUAAAUAUUUUAAACGAAGCCGCCCAGGGCAUCGUGAAAGUCUUGCAGAUAGGCGAGAAGUUGAGGCAUGGUCGGCCGG